UGGGGAAUAUUGCACAAUGGGCGCAAGCCUGAUGCAGCCAUGCCGCGUGUGUGAAGAAGGCCUUCGGGUUGUAAAGCACUUUCAGCGAGGAGGAAGGUGGUGAGCUUAAUACGCUCAUCAAUUGACGUUACUCGCAGAAGAAGCACCGGCUAACUCCGUGCCAGCAGCCGCGGUAAUACGGAGGGUGCAAGCGUUAAUCGGAAUUACUGGGCGUAAAGCGCACGCAGGCGGUUUGUUAAGUCAGAUGUGAAAUCCCCGGGCUCAACCUGGGAACUGCAUUUGAAACUGGCAAGCUAGAGUCUCGUAGAGGGGGGUAGAAUUCCAGGUGUAGCGGUGAAAUGCGUAGAGAUCUGGAGGAAUACCGGUGGCGAAGGCGGCCCCCUGGACGAAGACUGACGCUCAGGUGCGAAAGCGUGGGGAGCAAAACAGGAUUAGAUACCCUGGUAGUCCACGCUGUAAAACGAUGUCGAUUUUGGAGGUUGUGCCCUGAGGCGUGGNUUCCGGAGCUAACG
rnacentral:rRNA from 1 species